GACGAACGCUGGCGGCGUGCUUAACACAUGCAAGUCGAACGAAGAGCGAUGGAAGCUUGCUUCUAUCAAUCUUAGUGGCGAACGGGUGAGUAACGCGUAAUCAACCUGCCCUUCAGAGGGGGACAACAGUUGGAAACGACUGCUAAUACCGCAUACGAUCUAAUCUCGGCAUCGAGGAUAGAUGAAAGGUGGCCUCUACAUGUAAGCUAUCACUGAAGGAGGGGAUUGCGUCUGAUUAGCUAGUUGGAGGGGUAACGGCCCACCAAGGCGAUGAUCAGUAGCCGGUCUGAGUGGAUGGACGGCCACAGUGGGACUGAGACACGGCCCAGACUCCUACGGGAGGCAGCAGUGGGGAAUCUUCCGCAAUGGACGAAAGUCUGACGGAGCAACGCCGCGUGAGCGAGGACGGCCUUCGGGUUGUAAAGCUCUGUUAAUCGGGACGAAAGGCCUUCUUGCGAAUAGUGAGAAGGAUUGACGGUACCGGAAGAGAAAGCCACGGCUAACUACGUG
rnacentral:rRNA from 1 species